rnacentral:rRNA from 1 species
AUUGAACGCUGGCGGCAGGCCUAACACAUGCAAGUCGAACGGUAACAGGAAGCAGCUUGCUGCUUUGCUGACGAGUGGCGGACGGGUGAGUAAUGUCUGGGAAACUGCCCGAUGGAGGGGGAUAACUACUGGAAACGGUAGCUAAUACCGCAUAACGUCGCAAGACCAAAGAGGGGGACCUUAGGGCCUCUUGCCAUCGGAUGUGCCCAGAUGGGAUUAGCUAGUAGGUGGGGUAACGGCUCACCUAGGCGACGAUCCCUAGCUGGUCUGAGAGGUUGACCAGCCACACUGGAACUGAGACACGGUCCAGACUCCUACGGGAGGCAGCAGUGGGGAAUAUUGCACAAUGGGCGCAAGCCUGAUGCAGCCAUGCCGCGUGUAUGAAGAAGGCCUUCGGGUUGUAAAGUACUUUCAGCGGGGAGGAAGGGAGUAAAGUUAAUACCUUUGCUCAUUGACGUUACCCGCAGAAGAAGCACCGGCUAACUCCGUG